rnacentral:rRNA from 1 species
GCUUGUCUCAAAGAUUAAGCCAUGCAUGUCUAAGGAUAAAUUUUUUUACGGUAAACCUGCGAACGGCUCAUUAAAUCAGUUAAAAUCUACAGAGCUAAUGUUAAUAUGGAUAACUGUAGUAAUUCUAGAGCUAAUACAUGUCACACGUAACUUUUACGGUUACGACAGAGGGGGAAAUAAAGAGGUUCCAAAUGGUGAAUUACCCCUCAUUUUCUAAUCGCUCUUGUGAGCGAUAUACUUUAUGAUUUUCUGCCCUAUCAACUUUUGACGGUAGUGUCGUGGACUACCGUGGUUUCGACGGGUAACGGGGAAUAAGGGUUCGGUUCCGGAGAGGGGGCCUGAGAGAUGGCCACCACUUCUAAGGAAGGCAGCAGG